rnacentral:rRNA from 1 species
AGAUUCCGGACCGCGACGC